UUUUCCAUUUGGGCCCUAUGUCAAACGACCAAACACGACGGCAGGAUUUGUUUUUGUUAUUGUUUUGUUUUUUGGCCUCGUAGGCCAAUCCAAAACAAAUUUCGUUUUCGUGUUGGGCCGUUUGAAUCAAAAAUAUAUUUUCGCUCGUUUAUGUUUGUUAAAGAGUUAAUAUCGCGUUUUUUCUUAUAAUUUCUAUUUUACAUCGAGUAUUCCUUCAUUCCAAUGGGAAAGUUCGUGAUCCUUAGAUGGCUAAAAAAGCCCACCAACUUGGAUAAUUAUGGCUGGUAGGUGCUCCAGGAAAAAGGGUGAGGAAGAAAUAACGUUGUACGAUGCCGACGGAGGCGAUUGUUGCAUUCGCAUGUUGCAGCCAAAUCGCAUGACUAUCUUUGUCGAACCUGUACGUUGCCUACGGGUCGAUGGCAACGACGGCUUGACCGGCUACAACCAGGAGGAAAAGGAGUCAUCGGUGCGAAUGUACUUAAACGGGUAGAUUCAUCGGAACUUGCGACAUGGAAUAGCAAAGAAAUGGUUUAUCUAAUAAAUUUAUGUAAAUA